GACGAACGCUGGCGGCGUGCCUAAUACAUGCCAGUAGAACGCUGAAGGAGGAGCUUGCUUCUCUGGAUGAGUUGCGAACGGGUGAGUAACGCGUAGGUAACCUGCCUGUUAGUGGGGGAUAACUAUUGGAAACGAUAGCUAAUACCGCAUAAUAGCAGUUGUUGCAUGAUAACUGUUUGAAAGGUGCAAUCGCACCGCUACCAGAUGGACCUGCGUUGGAUUAGGUAGUUGGUGGGGUAACGGCUGAACAAGGCGACGAUACAUAGCCGACCGGGGAGGGGGAAUGGCCAAAAUGGGAAUGGAGAAAGGGCCAGAACCCUUAGGGAAGCAGCAGGAGGGGAACUUCGGCAAUGGACGGAAGGCUGAACGAGCAACGCCGCGGGAAGGAAGAAGGGUCUCGGAUCGGAAAGAUCCGUUGUAAGGGAAGAACGAGAGUGGGAGUGGAAAGUGCACACUGUGACGGUAUCUUACCAGAAAGGGACGGCUAACUACGUG
rnacentral:rRNA from 1 species